GAACUUAAGCAUAUCAAUAAGGCGGAGGAACUUUUUACU
rnacentral:rRNA from 1 species